GACGAACGCUGGCGGCGUGCCUAAUACAUGCAAGUCGAACGAGAGCAACCGGUGCUUGCACUGGUCAAUCUAGUGGCGAACGGGUGAGUAACACGUGGGUAACCUGCCCAUCAGAGGGGGAUAACAUCCGGAAACGGAUGCUAAAACCGCAUAGGUCUUCGAACCGCAUGGUUUGAAGAGGAGAAGAGGCGCAAGCUUCUGCUGAUGGAUGGACCCGCGGUGCAUUAGCUAGUUGGUGAGGUAACGGCUCACCAAGGCCGUGAUGCAUAGCCGACCUGAGAGGGUUAUCGGCCACAUUGGGACUGAGACACGGCCCAAACUCCUACGGGAGGCAGCAGUAGGGAAUCUUCCGCAAUGGACGCAAGUCUGACGGAGCAACGCCGCGUGAGUGAAGAAGGUUUUCGGAUCGUAAAACUCUGUUGUUAGAGAAGAACAAGUGCUAGAGUAACUGUUAGCGCCUUGACGGUAUCUAACCAGAAAGCCACGGCUAACUACGUG
rnacentral:rRNA from 1 species